AACGCACAUUGCGCCCGCCAGUAUUCUGGCGGGCAUGCCUGUCCGAGCGUCAUUUCAACCCUCGAACCCCUCCGGGGGGUCGGCGUUGGGGAUCGGGAACCCCUCAGACGGGAUCCCGGCCCCGAAAUACAGUGGCGGUCUCGCCGCAGCCUCUCCUGCGCAGUAGUUUGCACACUCGCAUCGGGAGCGCGGCGCGUCCAUUGCCGUAAAACACCCAACUUUCUGAAAUGUUGACCUCGGAUCAGGUAGGAAUACCCGCUGAACUUAA
rnacentral:misc_RNA from 1 species